rnacentral:misc_RNA from 1 species
GUAACAAGGUUUCCGUAGGUGAACCUGCGGAAGGAUCAUUACCGAGUGCGGGCUGCCUCCGGGCGCCCAACCUCCCACCCUUGACUACCUAACACUGUUGCUUCGGCGGGGAGCCCUCUCGGGGGCGAGCCGCCGGGGACUACUGAACUUCAUGCCUGAGAGUGAUGCAGUCUGAGUCUGAAUAUAAAAUCAGUCAAAACUUUCAACAAUGGAUCUCUUGGUUCCGGCAUCGAUGAAGAACGCAGCGAACUGCGAUAAGUAAUGUGAAUUGCAGAAUUCAGUGAAUCAUCGAGUCUUUGAACGCACAUUGCGCCCCCUGGCAUUCCGGGGGGCAUGCCUGUCCGAGCGUCAUUGCUGCCCAUCAAGCCCGGCUUGUGUGUUGGGUCGUCGUCCCCCCCGGGGGACGGGCCCGAAAGGCAGCGGCGGCACCGUGUCCGGUCCUCGAGCGUAUGGGGCUUUGUCACCCGCUCGAUUAGGGCCGGCCGGGCGCCAGCCGACGUCUCCAACCAUUUUUUUCAGGUUGACCUCGGAUCAGGUAGGGAUACCCGCUGAACCUAAGCAUAUCA